CAGUCGCCGCGGUAAUACGAAGGGUGCGAGCGUUACCCGGAUUUACUGGGCGUAAAGGGCGUGUAGGCGGCCUGGGGCGUCCCAUGUGAAAGGCCACGGCUCAACCGUGGAGGAGCGUGGGAUACGCUCAGGCUAGAGGGUGGGAGAGGGUGGUGGAAUUCCCGGAGUAGCGGUGAGAUGCGCAGAUACCGGGAGGAACGCCGAUGGCGAAGGCAGCCACCUGGUCCACUUCUGACGCUGAGGCGCGAAAGCGUGGGGAGCAAACAGGAUUAGAGACCCCGGUAGUCCCUGUCUCUUAUAA
rnacentral:rRNA from 1 species